AUGGACUGGAGCUGGAGAAUCCUCUUCUUGGUGGCACUGGCCACAGGUGUGCACUCCCAGGUCCGGCUGGUACAGUCUGGGGCUGAAGUGAGGAAGCCAGGCACAUCCAGGAAGGUCUCCUGUAAGGCAUCUGGAUACACAUUCACUGACUACUAUCUGCACUGGGUGCGACAGGCCCCAGAACAAGGGCUUGAGUGGUUGGGAUGAAUUGACCCUGAAGAUGAUGCCACAAUUUAUGCACUGAAGUUCCAUGGCAGAGUCACCGUGAUGGCAGACAUGUCCACUAGCACAGCCUACAGGGAUCUGAGCAGUCUGAGGUCUGAGGACACGGACAUGUAUCACUGCUCAAGACUCCUUACUCCACCUUCACAGCAGAAGAACAUCGAGCAUCAGUGGUCACAUGACUCACUUCUUCUACUGAGGCCUAACCUCCCUCUGCUACCUCUUAUAAGAGCACUUGGCAUUACAUUAAGACCCACCUGGAUGCUCCAGAAAAGACUAUUUUAUUUUACUUAA